rnacentral:rRNA from 1 species
CGGAUUGUAGUCUGCAACUCGACUACAUGAAGCUGGAAUCGCUAGUAAAUCGCGAAUCAGAAUGUCGCGGUGAAUACGUUCCCGGGUCUUGUACACACCGCCCGUCACACCAUGGGAGUUGGGAAUGCCCGAGGCCGGUGACCUAACCGAAAGGGAGGAGCCGUCGAAGGCAGGCUUGAUAACUGGGGUGAAGUCGUAACAAGGUAGC